rfam:Triticum aestivum genome assembly, contig: Triticum_aestivum_CS42_TGACv1_scaffold_222023_3B
GAUGUACUCCCUCCGUCCGGAAAUACUUGUCGCACAAAUAGAUAAAACUGGAUGUAUCUAGAACUAAAAUACGUCUAGAUACAUUCAUUUCCAUGACAAGUAUUUCUGGACGGAGGGAAUAUCUA